rnacentral:tRNA from 1 species
GCCCAAGUAGUCUAGCGGUCAGGAUAGAACCCUGUCACGGUUCAGACCCGAGUUCGAAUCUCGGCUUGGGCG